AGCUUACCACCGUGUAAUAUUUAAAGAACCGGGCUGGGGGACAGCCACUUAACGACGGUGAUCAAAUGGCUUCGGAUGCACACUACACGUACCUGCAGCGCGCCCUGAAGCGCCAGGUGCGCUCCCUGCGGCGGAUCUGUAACAUGUGCGUGCUGGGAAUACAGAGGAUGAAGCAGAUGCAGAUCAGGAUCGACUCGCUAUCGUCAGUCAAGAAAAUGAUCGCAUGGCACUGAGCAGGAAUAGACUUGUCGAGAAAGGUGCCGGGUUGGAAGCGGGAGGCGGAGGAGACGUUUCGAAAAUGGGGACGAAUGUAACAACAACAACACAGACUGACGUGGUGUCGCAAUGUGGGGUGUCACGUUACACUCUGCAUACCGGAGGACAUUGGAGGAACAUCGGAGUAGACUUUCUCUAUGUGAAGAAGACUUUUAUAGAAGAGACGAUCAAGUUAAAACUGUU